rnacentral:rRNA from 1 species
GUGGAGGGUUCGAUUCUGGCUCAGGAUGAACGCUGGCGGCGUGCUUAACACAUGCAAGUCGAACGGGAUCCCAGGAGCUUGCUCCUGGGUGAGAGUGGCGAACGGGUGAGUAAUGCGUGACCGACCUGCCCCAUACACCGGAAUAGCUCCUGGAAACGGGUGGUAAUGCCGGAUGCUCCGACUCCUCGCAUGGGGUGUCGGGAAAGAUUAUAUCGGUAUGGGAUGGGGUCGCGUCCUAUCAGGUAGUCGGCGGGGUAACGGCCCACCGAGCCUACGACGGGUAGCCGGCCUGAGAGGGCGACCGGCCACAUUGGGACUGAGAUACGGCCCAGACUCCUACGGGAGGCAGCAGUGGGGAAUAUUGCACAAUGGGCGCAAGCCUGAUGCAGCGACGCCGCGUGCGGGAUGACGGCCUUCGGGUUGUAAACCGCUUUUGAUCGGGAGCAAGCCUUCGGGUGAGUGUACCUUUCGAAUAAGCACCGGCUAACUACGUGCCAGCAGCCGCGGUAAUACGUAGGGUGCAAGCGUUAUCCGGAAUUAUUGGGCGUAAAGGGCUCGUAGGCGGUUCGUCGCGUCCGGUGUGAAAGUCCAUCGCUUAACGGUGGAUCUGCGCCGGGUACGGGCGGGCUGGAGUGCGGUAGGGGAGACUGGAAUUCCCGGUGUAACGGUGGAAUGUGUAGAUAUCGGGAAGAACACCAAUGGCGAAGGCAGGUCUCUGGGCCGUUACUGACGCUGAGGAGCGAAAGCGUGGGGAGCGAACAGGAUUAGAUACCCUGGUAGUCCACGCCGUAAACGGUGGAUGCUGGAUGUGGGGCCCGUUCCACGGGUUCCGUGUCGGAGCUAACGCGUUAAGCAUCCCGCCUGGGGAGUACGGCCGCAAGGCUAAAACUCAAAGAAAUUGACGGGGGCCCGCACAAGCGGCGGAGCAUGCGGAUUAAUUCGAUGCAACGCGAAGAACCUUACCUGGGCUUGACAUGUUCCCGACCGCUCCAGAGAUGGGGCUUCCCUUCGGGGCGGGUUCACAGGUGGUGCAUGGUCGUCGUCAGCUCGUGUCGUGAGAUGUUGGGUUAAGUCCCGCAACGAGCGCAACCCUCGCCCUGUGUUGCCAGCACGUCAUGGUGGGAACUCACGGGGGACCGCCGGGGUCAACUCGGAGGAAGGUGGGGAUGACGUCAGAUCAUCAUGCCCCUUACGUCCAGGGCUUCACGCAUGCUACAAUGGCCGGUACAACGGGAUGCGACACGGCGACGUGGAGCGGAUCCCUGAAAACCGGUCUCAGUUCGGAUUGGAGUCUGCAACCCGACUCCAUGAAGGCGGAGUCGCUAGUAAUCGCGGAUCAGCAACGCCGCGGUGAAUGCGUUCCCGGGCCUUGUACACACCGCCCGUCAAGUCAUGAAAGUGGGUAGCACCCGAAGCCGGUGGCCUAACCCCUUGUGGGAUGGAGCCGUCUAAGGUGAGACUCGUGAUUGGGACUAAGUCGUAACAAGGUAGCCGUACCGGAAGGUGCGGCUGGAUCACCUCCUUUCUACGGAG